UACGUAGGGGGCAAGCGUUGUCCGGAUUUAUUGGGCGUAAAGAGCGUGUAGGCGGCCAGGCAGGUCCGUUGUGAAAACUCGAGGCUCAACCUCGAGACGUCGGCGGAAACCCUCUGGCUAGAGUCCGGAAGAGGAGAGUGGAAUUCCUGGUGUAGCGGUGAAAUGCGCAGAUAUCGGGAAGAACACCCGUGGCGAAGGCGGCUCUCUGGGACGGUACUGACGCUGAGACGCGAAAGCGUGGGGAGCGAACAGG
rnacentral:rRNA from 1 species